rnacentral:rRNA from 1 species
AUAUCAGUAAGCGGAGGAAAAGAAACUAACGAGGAUUCCCUCAGUAACGGCGAGUGAACGGGGAAGAGCCCAGCGCUAAAUCCUGUUGCUCUAACGGGUAACGGGAGGUGUAGCGUAUAGUAGGCGAAUUUCCUUGAUGGCUGUCGACUUAAAUUCUCCUUGACUGGGGUUCCAGAGAAGGUGAAAGGCCUGUUCAGUCGAUGGCCGUCUUGGAUUCCGUUCUACUUGGAGUCGGGUUGUUUGGGAACGCAGCCCAAAUUGGGUGGUAAACUUCAUCUAAGGCUAAAUACGGCCACGAGACCGAUAGCGCACAAGUA